AGGGAUCAUUGCUGGAACGCGCCCCAGGCGCACCCAGAAACCCUUUGUGAACUUAUACCUUACUGUUGCCUCGGCGCAUGCCGGCCCCCCUGGGGGCCCCUCCUUCUGGAGGAGCAGGCACGCCGGCGGCCAACCUAACUCUUGUUUUUACACUGAAACUCUGAGAAUAAAACAUAAAUGAAUCAAAACUUUCAACAACGGAUCUCUUGGUUCUGGCAUCGAUGAAGAACGCAGCGAAAUGCGAUAAGUAAUGUGAAUUGCAGAAUUCAGUGAAUCAUCGAAUCUUUGAACGCACAUUGCGCCCUCUGGUAUUCCGGAGGGCAUGCCUGUUCGAGCGUCAUUUCAACCCUCAAGCCUGGCUUGGUGAUGGGGCACUGCCUGUAAAAGGGCAGGCCCUGAAAUUCAGUGGCGAGCUCGCCAGGACCCCGAGCGCAGUAGUUAAACCCUCGCUCUGGAAGGCCCUGGCGGUGCCCUGCCGUUAAACCCCCAACUUCUGAAAAUUUGACCUCGGAUCAGGUAGGAAUACCCGC
rnacentral:rRNA from 1 species